rnacentral:rRNA from 1 species
GACGUAGGGCGCGAGCGUUGUCCGGAUUUAUUGGGCGUAAAGAGCUCGUAGGCGGUUUGUUGCGUCGGCUGUGAAAUCCCGAGGCUCAACCUCGGGUCUGCAGUCGAUACGAGCAAACUAGAGUGUUGCAGGGGAGACUGGAAUUCCUGGUGCAGCGGUGAAAUGCGCAGAUAUCAGGAGGAACACCGGUGGCGAAGGCGGGUCUCUGGGCCGAUACUGACGCUGAGGAGCGAAAGCGUGGGGAGCGAACAGG